GAUGAACGCUGGCGGCGUGCCUAAUACAUGCAAGUCGAGCGAACGGACGAGAAGCUUGCUUCUCUGAUGUUAGCGGCGGACGGGUGAGUAACACGUGGAUAACCUACCUAUAAGACUGGGAUAACUUCGGGAAACCGGAGCUAAUACCGGAUAAUAUUUUGAACCGCAUGGUUCAAAAGUGAAAGACGGUCUUGCUGUCACUUAUAGAUGGAUCCGCGCUGCAUUAGCUAGUUGGUAAGGUAACGGCUUACCAAGGCAACGAUGCAUAGCCGACCUGAGAGGGGGAUCGGCCACACUGGAACUGAGACACGGUCCAGACUCCUACGGGAGGCAGCAGUAGGGAAUCUUCCGCAAUGGGCGAAAGCCUGACGGAGCAACGCCGCGUGAGUGAUGAAGGUCUUCGGAUCGUAAAACUCUGUUAUUAGGGAAGAACAUAUGUGUAAGUAACUGUGCACAUCUCGACGGUACCUAAUCAGAAAGCCACGGCUAACUACGUG
rnacentral:rRNA from 1 species